ACCUGGGUGGCUCAGUGUUUGAGCGUCUGACUUCGGCUCAGGUCAUGAUCCUGGUGACCCGGGAUCGAAUCCCGCAUCAGGUU
rnacentral:tRNA from 1 species